rnacentral:rRNA from 1 species
GACUCUCGGCAACGGAUAUCUCGGCUCUCGCAUCGAUGAAGAACGUAGCGAAAUGCGAUACUUGGUGUGAAUUGCAGAAUCCCGUGAACCAUCGAGUCUUUGAACGCAAGUUGCGCCCAAAGCCAUUAGGCCGAGGGCACGCCUGCCUGGGUGUCGCACAUCGUUGCC